CAGGGCUGUAUGUAAUCCAGACGUGGCUUACUGACUCUCAUCUCUCUAGUCUCCCUCGAGCGGCGAUGUUCCAGGUGUACCAGCGCUACCGGGACUGUUGUUAAAAAUGCAGAUUCCUGGACCCACCCUAUAGACCACCAGUCAGAACCUCCGGGGGUGGGGCCCCAGAAAUGGGCCAUUUAAAAUUAAAUUCCCUGGUGACUCUGUGCAUGCUAAUGUUUGGGAAACUUUAUUUAAAGAAAAUGAUCUAAGACUGAUGUGAAUAGACCCUGUUAGUCCCAUUCGGUCUUGAAAAAUCUUUUGAAAUUGUGUUUACCUGCGUUUAAAUUUAACCCGCUAUUGUCAGGUUGUGUGUUUACUAAUUGCUUUGACUUUUGAGAUAGCGGCCAUUGCGUGUGUGUGUGUGUGUGUGUGUGUGUGUGCGUGCGUGCGUGUGUGUGCGUGUGCGUGUGUGUCCCUUGUACUGUUGGGACCCAGAAGAGAAGAGGUGAAUUCAUCCUACAGCUUGGACGCCAGGCAAGGCUGUACGACAGCUUUUUACCCCCACGGCAUCUACUACUCCUAGUAAUAAUCGUAAACGAGGUUUGAUUAUGAAGGUGCCUGUAUCCUGACACCCCCUCUUUCACCCCAGGCAGCUGAGCCCACAUAAAUAAAGCUCAGGGAUAGCAGAGAGAGGUGGGAGGGGUGAUGAUGAAGGGCUUGGGAGUCAGACAGUCCCGGGUUCAGAUUCCGCACCCCCACUCCCGUGCUGUGAGCUCAUACUCAUCAUCAUAAAGCCGCCAACGCACACGGCAUUCACGCAGUGCCGGGUACUUUUCCGUGGGUUUCACGUGCACAUUAACAAUCAAGCCUUGCCACUCGAUGAGAUUGCUCUACUGGUAUUAUUGAUGUUUCGUAAGUGGGGAAACCAAGGCACAGAGGUGGCGAUGCUGCUCUCUGAAACCUGGAAGUCAACGAGUGGUCUGAGAGCUUGCCCACGAGAAAGGGAGGGAAUCGACCGUGCGGAGGGAAGCCAGGAUUAGCAAUCGUUGAAACCAGUGACUCAGGGUUUGGGAGCAAGAGCUCAGGGAACAGGACGCCCAUGGGAGAGAGCGGUGACAUUCUUGGCGUGCCCACCACGAGAGCCCGGAAUUCACGUCUCAGUGAGUCAUGUGCAUGAAAGAGAGUUAUCUGUCAUUCAAGAUUUCUGGGCUGGCGUUCAGGAAGUGACAUGCUGGUGAGGACGAGAGGCUGCAAGAAGACGAGCCAUGUGCCAAGGUCACGUGCCAGAAAGUGGUGGUGCAAGCUCGGAUGCCAGCGCACUGUCCUAAGCUCUCUGCCAUCGACCUCUGGACCCUGCCUUACCCGUCUUCCUGAUGCAAACCCCACCCCACCCAGAGGCAGGAGACAUGCUUAUAUGUUCAUAGUUAGGUUGGCACAGAGUCUACUAUACCGCCCAGCAGGAGCCCGAGCUUCAAGGCUCCACCCCUGGUCCAUCUGCAUGAGGGACGCUCUGGGGACAGCCACUGACCAUAGUUUGGGUCCUACCCCUUCAUGAGGCUUGUUCUGUAUGAUAUUCCCUCAACCCCCUGGACUCUGACCUCACUUUCUUACAUGGGCUGGCACAGUCCCACUGCCAAGGUCUUGCUUGACUGUCCAGUGCAUCCCUGCCCCGCCCGCCCGCUGCUAUUAUACACCAUUCUCCCUGCCUCACCUGGACUCUGAUGUCACCUGGGUAGGUGAUUCACAAUGAAUGCAUUGACUCCUCACAACAAACCUCUAAAAUGGA